UACGAAGGGGGCGAGCGUUGUUCGGAAUUACUGGGCGUAAAGGGCGCGCAGGCGGCUCUGAAAGUCAGAUGUGAAAGCCCCGGGCUUAACCUGGGAAUUGCAUUUGAUACUCUGGAGCUUGAGUACGGGAGAGGAGAGUGGAAUUCCCAGUGUAGAGGUGAAAUUCGUAGAUAUUGGGAAGAACACCGGUGGCGAAGGCGGCUCUCUGGACCGUAACUGACGCUGAGGCGCGAAAGCGUGGGGAGCAAACAGGG
rnacentral:rRNA from 1 species